rnacentral:rRNA from 1 species
ACCUACGGGGGGCAGCAAUUAGGAAUCUUGCGCAAUGGGGGCAACCCUGACGCAGCGACGCCGCGUGGAGGAGGAAGUCCUUCGGGAUGUAAACUCCUUUUAGGGGGGAAGAAACAAAUGACGGUACCCCCUGAAUAAGCCCCGGCUAACUACGUGCCAGCAGCCGCGGUAAUACGUAGGGGGCGAGCGUUGUCCGAAGUUACUGGGCGUAAAGCGCGCGUAGGCGGGGGAGUAAGUGAGAAGUGAAAGGCUCAGGCUCAACCUGAGCAGUGCUUCUCAUACUGCUUCUCUUGAGGGCGGUAGGGAGAAGUGGAAUGGCUGGUGUAGCGGUGAAAUGCGUAGAUAUCAGUCGGAACACCGGUGGCGAAGGCGGCUUCUUGGGCCGUACCUGACGCUGAGGCGCGAAAGCCAGGGGAGCGAACGGGAUUAGAUACCCCGGUAGUCCG